rnacentral:rRNA from 1 species
AAUAUUUGUCAAUGGGCGGGAGCCUGAACCAGCCAUGCCGCGUGCGGGACGAAGGCCCUAUGGGUUGUAAACCGCUUUUAUACGGGAACAACCGCAGUUACGAGUAACUGUUUGAGUGUACCGUAGGAAUAAGGAUCGGAUAAAUCCGUGCCAGUAGCCGCGGUAAUACGGAGGAUCCGAGCGUUAGCCGGAUUUAUUGGGUUUAAAGGGUGCGUAGGCCGCAUUUUAAGUCAGGGGUGCAAUACAGCGUCUCAACCGUUGCAAUGCCUUUGAUACUGAAUUGCUUGAAUGUGAUCAAAGGAGGCGGAACGGGACAAGUAGCGGUGGAAUGCAUAGAUAUGUCCCAGAACCCCGAUUGCGAAGGCAGCUUCCUAGAACAUAAUUGACGCUGAUGCACGAAAGCGUGGGGAUCGAACA